CAAGGAGUCUAGCAUGUGCGCGAGUCAUUGGGAAUUCAUAAACCCAGAGGCGCAAUGAAAGUGAACAGCGCCGCGCGCGCUUGCGUGCGCGGCCGCAGGGAUGAUGGCGGUCGGUGAUUCGAUUCGCCGUCUUCGCCCGCAAUCCCGAGGCGUUUCGAGAAAUGCCACCGUUGCGAUUAUCGAGACGCACUGAGAGCGCACACGCUGGGACCCGAAAGAUGGUGAACUAUGCCUGG
rnacentral:rRNA from 1 species